CCAGUUGGUAUGAGGUAACUAGUUACUGUGCCUCAAUACGUCUGUGUACUCUGUGCUCUUAAUAUGUGGCAGGCACAAGUAAUUUGAGUGAGCGUACUCAACAGUGAAGGAGCUGAGCUGCUGUCAAUCACAUAGUGUUUUUUUUUGUUAACUCACAGAGCCACUUUCUGCAGGUCUGCUGAGUUGUGAUGCUUUCUGUCUUCUAGCAACGUAAACCAUUGAGCCUUCAGACAUCUAAGUACAUUUGAGUGUGGUACUAGUUAUGUAGGAACAACUAACCUAAAGGUUCCUUAGUCUGCUAGUUGAUCAAGGAAGGCACUUAAGCCUUCAUUUCAAUGAGAGGGGAGCAGCUGGCAGGGCAUUUUUCCACACUGCUUUGGAACUUGCACUUCUCCCAACACCAAAAUAGUUCUGGGACAUGCUGCUGUGGCCCACUUGUUUUUCUUAGCAGUAAGGGGUUGGGAGGAUUCUGGUGGAAGACUUCCCUGGCUUGAGCUGAAUAACCAGCCACUGUAAAUUGAUACUAUCUUAUCUGUAUCGGAGGAUUCUGUCCGGAGGAGAACCUUAAAUAUAAUGGAUUAAUGGAAGAGUGUCAACAGAAGAUUUGGACCUUUGCUGCCAGCUUGCUGCACACAUGGAGUUACCAUCACAUCCACUGAAUGUGCUGGAGCUGUCCUAUCAAGGUGUUGGAAGAUGAAACUCUUCUCAACCUUGAAGAAAGGAGGCUGAAGUGUCAGGACAUGCCAGCAACAACAGAAGACAGAAAACAGAAAGUGAUUCUUCACUUCUUGCAUGGCCCAGGUGUGAACUUACAGACAGGGUAAGGAGGAAAAGAAGGGAGACAUGGAACCACAGCCCUGUUGCCCAUGGCCUGGGCAGGUGGGUGCUGCUGUGGCUCAACUCCUUUGCAGGGUAACCUGAUCAGACCCUGGGACUGCUCCCUAAGACACGACCGCCCUCCACCUUUGGCUGUCCUUCUCUCAGGGCUGUUGCUUAAGACUGAAAACCCGUCACUCAUGAAAAGCAGGCGGCCUGCUCCCUCUAUAGGCUUUUCUGGUUGUUGCUGCCGUGAGCUGGCUGCCCAGAGGAUCAGCGCUGCAUGCGGGUUUUGAAAGCUGACAACUCAUACGUGAGGGAAAAGACGCUGCCUGAACCACAGCACACUUCUUCCCGUGCGCCUGCUCUCCUGACUGCACCAGCACUGCAGUUCCUGAUGCCAUUCUGAUAACAAAAGCAAUCUGGAUUCAGAGCAUCCUCUUUGUCACUUGGAUCAGCCUAGGGAGCCUCUGUGCAGCCCAGCCCUGACAGCUGCUGCAUUGCUGCAUGGGGGGAGGCAGGGUGGGAGGCAGGCAUCCCCAGGCUGCUGUUGCAGCUGGGUGCCCCUUGCUGCAAGCAAAGCUCCCUGCCUGCUGCUGGCAUGGGUAGCAGAGGGGAUUCCCCUGCAGUGCCUGAAACAGCGCUGCAGGGAAAGAUCCAACACAUCUGUGGGUUAUAUAUUAAUAGUCAGCGAUGACCUUCUGCAGAGUGGCGGAGUAACCAUCUCACUGAAGCACUGGUGAAGAAGUGGCAGUUCUGCUAUGCAGAUUGCAGAUAUUAGCACCUAGCAGAAGGCUGACAGACAAUUUCCAUGCAAUUAUACCGUUAUCAAUUGCUCCUUACUUUUUAAAAUGUGAAUAAAGUGUUCUGAAGUUUUCAGUGCUAAAUAAAUGGUUGUUGUAGGGAACAGAAGGGAGACAACAGGAAAUGUUUUCACUAAAACACUGAGGGCACUUCCAAGGAAGCAUUGGGAGAGUAAUACAUGAGCUUUGCUUAUAGAGAAAAACCUUAGCAGUCAUUCUGUGCGUGCUCAUUUUCCCUUCACCAGGUCUGACCUUGUUCUGCAUUGAGCGCAAUCAGAGAUCUGCUGCAGUGGUGGUUAUGGACAUUUGUCACUUAUGGCACAAACACAUUGCUUUAACUUAAGCUUAAAAGUAAAACCAAUAAGUAAUGGCCAAUCUGUACACCACCAGUUAAAUGACAGAUGGUUUAUUUGUCUUUGGGGCUGUUGGUGAAUGCAGGAGCAUAGUAGUGGAAAAAAAAAUAAAAAAUAAAGGUAAGCUACAUAAAUAUCUCACAUAUGAAAUUUAUCAUAGUCUUUCAGUGUGGGAUAAAUUGCUUUCUAAUGGUUACAUGCAUAGAUAUACUGAGGAUGAUUUCAUCUGGUGUCCAUUGUGCACUAUGCAUAAAUUCAUAAGAUGUUUUGACUAAAGAUAAUGCUUUCAGAGAAGAGCUUUCUUCUGGUCAAUAUAUUUCACUAUUUAAUUAAAAGAAAUCCUGGCCAUGUUUCAAUUCAAUUAUUUGGUCUCAGGAGUCAUUUUUUGACCUUCAAAUACAUACACACAAAUCUUUGUUUUAACCAAAUUAUCAUCUUUUUGAUUUUUUUUUCUUUUUCCAAAGAGCUUCUCAUUUGAGUAGAAGUAUAUUUACAUUAAAUUGAAUGAUUGAAAUUGUAUUGUAUGGAACUUGUGUAGCCAAGGCUUUAAGUGCCCUUACAUAAUCAGUAUGAAACAAAAUCCUUGUGGUGUCUUUCUGUCAGGAACUCAGCUGGACGGCCACCUGCUGAGUCUCUUUUCCACUCUGUCAGUAUGGGAAGCACACUCUCUGUGCUUGGCAAGAAUGCUUCACGGAGAAGAGGCAUGAAUGGUGGAGAAGAGGAUGAAUCAUUUUGCAUAAAUAGCUGGUGCUGUGGCAGCCAAGGAGGAGAAGGGUGAAAGGCCAAGGGGGAGCCCGGAUGUGGUCAGAAGGAAGGAUAAGUAAAAGCCAAGGAUGAAUGACGCGGUGUGCCUAUGAAACUGGUGGAGUGUAGGAUGUAAGUGUGCUUAGGGAUAGUGUGGGGGUUGUGUUUGGAUGCAAGGGCACUGUAUGUAUCCUUGCAGUUCAGACAAUGGAGCCGAUGCCAGAAGCCUGUCACAUACGUCAAUCUUGGAACUGCUGCCAGUUUUCUGAGUACAGCUUGUCCACGUGAACAUUACGUGAGACUGCAGUUGGAAGCAUGCAGAACGAGCUGCCUUUGAGUCAUACAUGGACAGGGGGAAGAGAUCACCAAUGACAAUUUUGAUCAGUAUUGAAAAAAGAAAGCUUCGUACUUUGUAAACUGAACUUUUGUUGUGAUGAAGAGGCAGCAGCAUCAAUUUCUGCCCACUAGAAGUGUCUUGCAUGUGGGCAUUGACACCACCAUUUCUCCUCAAAGGACAUGAAGAAAUUCCAGUGUUACCUCUGAGACAGUUAUGCCAUCAUGCUCCUCUAUUGCACCACAGUGUGUCGCAAAGAGCACCUUACAAUGCAGAGCUACCCACUCUGGGAAGGGAAAGACUUGGGAGUGGCAGAUUCCUUACUGUACACAUGAUGUCAUUUCAGAAAGGAGUUGAAAGAAGAGGCAACAGUGCUGACAUCAGAAGGAGCAGACGUCCUGUGCAGCAUCAGUCAUUGCUGCUGCGGAUGGCAUGGGGCUGCACGCAGGCGCCUGCGGCUGUGAGGCAGAGGAGGGAGCUGCAGCCGCUGCCAGCAGCCGGCUCUGGUGUCAGACUGUGCAAAGUGGGAAUCAAUGGCACUGCUACAGACAGAAUUCUCAUUCGUGUCUUGCUUGAAGAGAAAAAGCCCUGCAGAUGUGGGGACAGGGACAAAAGUAGCCAGUAUUUCCUCUCUUCUCUUUCUACAUGCUAAUCAGCCACACAAAUGGGACACUGGCUAAUCUCUCUGGUUCCUGAAUUAAAAGAAGAUGCUCCUCUUCCAAGUAACGAAUGAAUCAUCCCUUUUAGUGCAUAGCAUGCAUGACUGCAUCGUUAAAAGCAGUCUUAAUCACUCACUGAGAAAAACGAUAUCAAUCUUUUCUCCCCUUUAGAGAUGUUGUUAACUGUGAGCCUCAGGAGCUCUGACUCACAGCCUGUGUGCUGCAGCAAGCCCAGAACGACUACGACUACACUAAAUUUUUAGCAAGUGAUUGGAGCCCCCUGGGUCUUAUCCCUUUUGUCUUCCUAAUAUGGCCAUAAUUGAGGAAAAGUGUAGACUUCUUGGUUUUGUACCUUGCUGGAAGUCUCUGGUCAGGUAGAUUUAGACUGGACUUUACACUGAAGUUCAAAGAAGAGAAGGAUUUUUGGUAGGCAAUUGAGUCCUGGCAGAGAACAGGGUUAAAUAGUUCCUGAGCUGAUAGAACCCUGCUCUCCAUUUUGCCCUCAGUUCUGCUUGUCUGACAGACAAGCUGCACACAUAGCACUGCAUCCUGCUUUACAAGCAUCAGAUUGUCAAUGGGACAGUAGGGUGAGGCGAAAGAAGUAAUACGAGUACAUUUAAAAGUGUUUGACAGUUUCCUGGAAAGAGGCUGAAUGUGUCUGAUGUGAGAAACACAUUUACUUGUUAAUGUUGAGGAACUGCCAGUGGCAGAGCAAACAAAAUGAUCAGAUAAGAAGUUUUCAGCCUGAUGGGGAAAAAACGUUACCCGCUGUUCUUUCUGAUAUAGUUGGGUGCACUGAUAGAAAUAUUUGUGUAUCCAUCCCAUAAAAAAUAGUAUAAAAUAUUGUUACCAGUGACAAAUGGUCAAGCUUUCAGUUGUUGGGGGAUGCAACAAUUAAGAUUGCCCACACCAUCUUAAAUCAACCCUUCUGUGUCUGUAUGUGCAUUACAGGCAUGAGAGCGUGAUGUAGUUGAGUUAUCUUAUUGCAUCCAGGUUCUUUCUUGGAUCAGACUCUCAGCUUGCCAAUAGCUCCACAAAUGCAAAAGGAGCUCUGGGGUCUCCCUGGAGGAUGUAAGGGAAGUAAUGGAGAUGUAAGGGAAGCUCUGAAUGUCAGUGACUGACAUUAUUGUUCCCAAUACUUUUUGUUAUUUCCCGUAGAUAGCCCUCAUUGAGUCCAGGCAGAGACUGUCCCCAUUUGCUACUCCAGUUCUGACACAGUGACAUGCUGCUAUUCAGCUCAUCCCCACCAUCAUCCUGCUGCUGGGAAAUGAGUUUGUUUCUGCCAAGAGCACACCUUCAGGAGGCACUGGAUGAGGACUAAAGGACAGCCAAUGGACAAAUGGUUGCGUGUGUUACCGAAAAUGAAUGUGUUACAAGGCUUUAUUAUGUUUGAAUGCAGGGAACAAAGGUGAUGUGGAACAAUUUGGUCAUUUGUUGGACAGCAUUCAGCUGUCACAACCUCUUGUAACAGACAAAUGCAGAUGAGCUCUCCUGAAGUCUGCCCCAGUGGGGUCUCUUCCAAGGGGCCAAGCUCACCGCUGUGGCCACCAGCCUGCUCUUCCCUCUGCAGGCCUUUUGGCAGCCCCAACCCUAUGCUCUGAGAGAGGAGGGACAGCACACAGUCCUUCCAGGACACGUUAAAUUUAAGGUUAGGAUCCACCUGUGCACUGCCCCAAAGAAUCUGAAUACUUUUUGUUUGCUGCUGUGAAACAUCUGCCAUAAAAAUAUGUGUGGUCUGCUCAUUAAAUGCAAAUUGCUAAGGACAGUGAUGAUGAACAAGGAGAAAUAUAUCCAGAUAAAUGGCACGCUCAUUCUUCAAAGAGGCACUAGGUGUUAUCAUGUGAACUGCCCUUGGGGUUGUGCCGGUGGAGGUGGAGGGGUGAGGAUGACCCAGAGAUCCGGUGCUUUGGCAGGGGCUCCUGGGACAUAUUGUCUCAAUCUGUGAUUGAGGUGAUCAUGGUUUUCUUUCAGCAUCUUUGCCUGGCGUCGGGUGAUUGAAUUUCAGUGUCUUAGGCUGCCUUUGCAGCCUUGUACUUCUCCUUGUACUACUUCUUGUAGAAGUAUUUGUAUCAGCUGCAGGUCUGAGAAAUAUUGUUUGAUAUAUGGAAAGAAAUGGGAUUUAUGUAGUGACAGUCUCAUUCCCCUGUGGGUCACUUGAUGGACUUGGUCACUGGAUGGAGGAAUGCUGUCACGGGGAGCAGCCCCCUGGAUCUGCCUUCUGACAGCUCAGCUCUCAGGCAAGUUUCCCAGUAGAAUCACAAGGAAAGAGAUGACAGAGGGGGGUUGUGUUGGGGAUGCUUCUGGGGCAAGACACAGAAGCCCAGAUGCCUGUCUCAGCAGCUGUGAGCUGCCAGAGGCAUUGCCAGGGCUGACUGCCCUGUGGGUGCAGAGGAGUGCAACAGGUAGAGCUGCAAAUCCCAGCAAGCCUCUGCACCAGAAGAUCAGUGAGGAAUAGCCAACAGUAACUCUACAAAAUUCAAGUCUCUAAGUAGUUUUCUCUCAGUAAAAAAUAAUCCGGCCCUUGGUGAAUAGAAAUGGGCCAAUCAGUUUCAAUCAUCUUUAAAUGUACUUAUGAUGCAGUGAUAGUUACAGUAGCCAGCACUUGUUCUUUGUAAGUAUGGUAGCAGACUUCAGGAAACCAACUAAUAACAAUCUGCAAUUUGAUGUUUGAAUUCCUGACUGCAGCUUCAGUUUCAAAUCCCUGUAAUGCUCCUAAAAAAUAUUUCUGGUCAUGAUGUUCAUUCAGAGUCAUGGUUUCUGCUCAGAUCAGGACAGUACCUUUUCACAUUUGCUUUCUGUUAUAUUCACAAAAACAGUAAUUAAACAUCAAUGAUACCUUAUGAACCCAAGACUCUUGGAUGACUUCAGGAAAUUGCUCAGUACAACUAAUUGCCCACCACUUCACAACCCCCCUUUUUGUUGCAAGACCUUGUAAAACCCCAGGGAGACUGAGAUAGAUUCCCAUCUAGUAUCUCAGUAUUCCUAACGCAGCAAAUUUGAGCUGUUUCCUCCUUUCUCCAAUAUAUAUCUAUAGGCAGGCACAGAUCUUCUUGGAAGACCUUAGAACUGGGCCCCGGUGCUUUGCAGCCAGUGGGAAUUCUGAUUGCCAGCUCAUCCAGGUGCACUGCUGUGGCUUUUCACAGCUCUGUGGCAUGUACACAUACAAGUUAUUUGCCUUUCCAUGUCAACAGAGUCCUGAGAGGUGUUCCUACAUAACAGGGACCCAGUGGAAUCAAAAGUCAGGCUGAUCAGAGAAGCCCUGCUUAGUCAUGAAUCAUGUGUAACAGUUUUUUCUCUUUCCUUCAUAUGAGCUGGAGUAUUGAUUACAAGGUCGUGCAGAGGUCAGCAGUAAAACCCAUGUCCGCAAGGAUGCCAGGAGUCCAGCCUUAAACAUCUGACACUUACUAGGAGAUUUACUUGAGUGUUCUGAAAUGAAACACUGAAUGCCUGCUCAUUGCUUCUUGUGCCUUGGACUGGGCUAUAAAAUGGUCCUGUCCCAGCUGGCGGUAGACAUUUUGUUGCUGGUCAAGCAGCAAAUGGUGUAACAGAAGAUGAUCCUCACUUUCUUCCUAAAGGCAUCUUAAACCUACAUUUUUGCAAUUAUACUGUUACAUUGUCAGGUUUGUGAUUAUGGGAGGCGGGCUUUAAAUGAAGGAAUUUUUAUGCAAUUAAGAAUUUCAGAAAUCUCAAACUGAAAUUUCUACCAAAAAGCAGCUUCAUUAUAUUUUAUGGGAAAUCUCUUUACUUGAUCCGAAAGUGUAAUAUAAAUAAAAUAUGUCAACUUCAAACAGCA